CAGUCGCCACGGGAAUACGAAGGGUGCAAGCGUUAAUCGGAAUUACUGGGCGUAAAGCGUGCGUAGGCGGUUUGUUAAGUUGGAUGUGAAAUCCCCGGGCUCAACCUGGGAACUGCAUUCAAAACUGACUGACUAGAGUAUGGUAGAGGGUGGUGGAAUUUCCUGUGUAGCGGUGAAAUGCGUAGAUAUAGGAAGGAACACCAGUGGCGAAGGCGACCACCUGGACUAAUACUGACACUGAGGUGCGAAAGCGUGGGGAGCAAACAGGAUUAGAUACCCCAGUAGUCCCUGUCUCUUAUAC
rnacentral:rRNA from 1 species